rnacentral:misc_RNA from 1 species
UCACACACGAAAAGCAGAGGCUUGGAAGGCUACUAUUUGUUCAAUCCACACACCCACCCCUCAAACGUACGUUAGUGGUAUAAGCCCAGUUCAUAUAACUUGUCGGUGGAGAAGCGGAAAUCUAGUGCGUACGAGUUUAGGUAGGCCUAAGUAGAGGUGGUGCGUUUGUGUAUAUUUAUGAUUUUUCAACACGGGUUAUUUCAGUUGGAUAAAAACACACGAAAAGCAAACGUCAUUUUUAUUACUUAUUUCUUGCAAUGGUCAAUUAUAUGAAUGGAGUCUAUACACAAACUGAUUAUAUCUUAAACUUAAGUUAAAGCUAUAUGACAUUGUAAAGACCUUAAAAAGUCGUGGACACCGUUAAAAACGUAGGCACCCCAAUGACCCUGGCAGUCCUUUUCCGCACUGAAUCAGCUGCGUAUGUUCAACACUGUAAGGAAUACAAGUAAAUAUCUUUGUUGGAAGAAAAAUGCUAUAGCAGUAUGCUAUCAUCAAGCACACAAACAAGGAAAAUGAAGAAAGCUGAGGUUUACACAACAGUUCUGAUUCUGUAUGUUUUCACAUGUCAGUGCAGUGCUGUGAUACCUUCACACCUAAGUCAACCCACACUUCAAACAAUGCUGAUAGGUGGAACUUCAUCUGCACUAAAAAUUGACCACUUCUUGCAUGAUAAUGACUCCUGUCCAAGUAUAUGCAAGUGUCGUUCGUAUGAAAGCCACACUGAAGUGGAAUGUAUAGUCAGAAACUUAACAACUCUAGCUACACUUCCAACAUAUACAACUGCCUUAACUUUAUCAAGAACUCGGCUCAGAACACUGAAUAUCUCUUUUCAAGGUUUAUCACAUUUACAGAAACUUAUUCUUUCACAUAAUGAGCUGAAGUACGUCAACUGGAAGUUUCAUAACUUUUUCACGAAGCUCAAACUUUUAGACCUAAGUCAUAACUUAUUAUACGGUACUUUAUCUUCUAAUAGUUUACAUCUAUUUGAAAGUUUAGAAUUGCUUAAUAUUUCAUAUAACCAGCUUAAUGAGUUACCACAUUCAUUAUUCAAUAAGUUAAAGUCACUCAAAUUACUUGAUUUAAGUAAUAAUAAAAUAUUAGAGAUUGAUUUGCAUAGCUUUUCUAAACUUUAUUCAUUAGAAAUCUUAGAUCUUUCAGUGAAUAAUUUAUAUCAAGUACAGCAUGACUGGUUCAGUGACCUUAAAAACCUGAAAGAGCUAAGGCUUGGAAGUAAUCACAUCCAGAAUUUGAGUAAUGUAGUUUUUUCAGCAUUAAAUACCUUACAAUAUUUAGAUCUUAGUGACAAUAAGAUAAUGUCAAUAGGAAUGCUGAGUUUUAAGGGUCUGAAGGAACUAAGGAAAUUGAACUUGAGUAUGAAUAAUAUUAGUUUUCUACAGGAAACUACAUUAAAGCCCUUGAGCAAUUUAGAAGUUCUAGAUCUCAGUUUCAACCUCCUUGCAACUCUGGAUAACUUGUUUAGUUCUUCCAUUUGCUUGAAAAAACUUUUCUUGUCAAAUAUCAAGAGCCUUUCAAGAAUAACCAAGCCAAUGUUCAAUGGCCUUUUGAACCUGGAAGAGCUGCAAAUUGCAAACUCUUCACUUUCUUCAAUAGCGAAAGAUGCAUUUGUUCCAUUAACUAAAAUGAAAGUCUUGGAUAUAAUGGGAAGCAAUAUGAUCACACUCGAAAAAGGUGUAUUUGACACACUGUCAAUUUUACAAAGGUUAAAUUUGGCUGGAAAUCCAUGGCACUGUGAUUGCUACAUGUACUGGCUGUUGCCUUGGCUUGGAGAUCAUACCAAUGCUCAUCUUUUGAACCCAUUCAAGACUCUGUGUUUUAAUCCCAGUCCUUUAGCUGGUCAUACACUCUUGGAUGCUUUAGACAAAAACAUGGUAUGUACAAACACCACCGUUCAGAAAAAUGUCUAUAAAAUACAGUACAGAGUGGGAUCUUCAGCUAUACUCAACUGUCAGGCAGAGGGCAGUCCAACACCAAACCUCACUUGGAUAACUCCUCAGAAUGAAGUCUUCCAUUGGAGUGCUGUGUAUGAAAAUACAACUAAAUUUUUACUCACAAGUAGUCCCAAAAGAACCUACAAUGUGUGGGCAGACAGUUUUAAUCACUCAAAAGAUGACCAGUUUUUAUUACUUAAGAAUGGAAGUCUCUUUAUUAGUAAGAUUCAGCGUAUGGAUGGUGGUCAUUUUCGAUGCAUAGCAUCGAACCCUUUAAGUAAGGAAGUUGUGAAUAUUCAUGUCAGUCUCGACUAUGAAUUUUUGGGGAAUAUAAAAAUUAUUAGUAUCUUAGUGGGCUUUGCAUUAAGCUUUGGAUUCCUCUUGGUUACAUUGAUGGUAAUCUUAAUUCAAUUUAUUUUGAAGCGGUUUGGAAUUGAAUGUCCAUGUCCAUGUGGAAUUGCAUAUUCCACUAAAGCACAGCAUAUUAAACGUAUGUUAGAAAACAUGGAAGGAUAUAGGCGCCAACAACUUGAUCGUCUGCGAGACCACUACAGUGUUCAAGUACAGAGAAUAAAAAAUAACUGUAUACAACAAAUGGAGAAGCUCAGAGAAGGCUAUUCAUUGCAGACAGAACGUAUAAGAGAUAUCUGUGACUAUGGUACACAGCAUAUUGACCGUAUUAGAGAUAAUUAUUACCAACAAGUGCAGAGGGUACGAGAUUAUAGUACAGGCCAGAUUGAUAGGCUGAGAGAAAAUUAUGUAUUUCAGAGAAAUCGUAUCCGUAAAUUCAGUGCUCACCAAUUGUACAAGCUAAGAGAAAAUUACAAGGUACAACAACAGCAUUUGAAUAAAAUUCUAGAGAAUCUAAACCUCGAGAGUUGUCGCAAUGUUUGUGCAAGAACAGAUUCCAUAAUGUUUGAGCCCGAAAUCUUGGUAGAGCCUGUGUUUGUACCAGCAAUAAAUAAUGUUGCACUUGCUCAGCUACAGUACUGCAGCCAGAAGGACCAAGGUGACAACUCCAGUCAGACAUCAGCUUACUUCACUCCAGAUGAAACUGGAUCUCAGGUUUCUGAUCAGAAUGACUUCAUUUGCAGUGCUCUUCCAGAAGAGGUGCAUCAAGUUCAGUCCAAUGGAAGUGCCUCCAGUUCUCCUUUAAGUAUAGUUUCCAAUAAUUUAUCUAUCACAGCUACUAUGGAAACAGCAAACACCCCAGCAAAUUCUCAAGCUACACUUACCAAUGAGAGAAUUUCUAUUUUUGUUGGAAAACAAACAGCAGAUGCAUGCAAGGCAGAGAAAGAUAGGAAAAAAACAAUUAUAUCCUUAACCCCUGGGACACGACUGCACCGAUCUCGGAGUCUGCCAGAAACUAGGGUAUAACAAUGUUAACUACUACAGUGUACAGGUACAUUAUGUACUGGAGGUAACCUAUAACUUAAAUUCUUCCGUAAUCCAGUUAACAAAUAUGUAGUUUCCUUAGCAGAGCAUUCCCUAAACACUUUAUUCUUGAUGUUACAAACAGAAGAACAAUGCAAGUUUAGCUUACAGAACAGAGUGGAGGUAAUUUGGAGAUAUUUAGUAGUUUUGUAUUGUUUACCUUUAAAGUGUAUGUGUAUUUUUCUAAAGCUUACCUGUUUAGAACUGAAAUUUGAUUUAAAACAUUUUUAUCUGUCCAGUGAUUGAAAUAUACUCCAUUUCAGUAAAGUUUGACAUGUUUUCUAUUCUUAAGACAGUCUGAAGAGAAAUAUUAUCUUAAUACAUUCAAAGAUAAAGUUGUUGUCCAGUAAUUUACCCCCCUCUUUUUUUUUUUUAAAUGAGUGUUAGAACAAAACUGAUGGCAAUGAAUUUAUCUAGUCCACAUGUAGUUAACAAACUGUAAGAAAUCAGUCUCAUUCUAAAUGGGAACUUCUGUGACUCAGAUAUACACACUUACCAAUCAGCAAAUAACUAAUUUUAUAAUGUCUAUUUUUGUUUAUCCCAGAAAAAACCUCAAAACCUUUGAAUUGUCAAACGUUAGGAGAUUUCUUUUUUUUUCUUUUCUUAUUUUUAAAAAACAUUCUUAAACUAAAAAUGCUAUAUAAAGUGUUUUGAACUCUAAGUAUUUAUGAGAAAUGCUAUCCAAGUUAGAGAGCUUGCAUGCCUCUUUAGAAGACAGCAAACAAAUAUGUUGGCAUAAAGAAUAGGCAAACUAAAUGUUAAAUUGCCCAGACACACAAACAAAUACUCUUUAGAUAUUUUAAGUAUGAUAUAAGUGUAAUAUUAUGGUUAAGGUACUGUAAGGAGAUCAUAAAUAUAAUUUCUCUUUGUUGUUUGACUCUGAAAUUUUAAUUCUAUUAGAUUAUAUUUAAGAGAGAUGAAAACAACGUCCAUAGAGUAUGAUGGCUCCUUUCUUAAACUGCAAUUUAAUUUUAUAAUAGCUUAGAUAAAAUUUGACUAAUGGGCUUCAUUCUUAUAAUGUAAUUUUUAGGUAGCAUCAAAGAUAAUUCUAAGUGAACACUUAGGUUGGAAAGUUUAACCUUGUAAUUAAUGUUAUUAGUAAAAGUGAAAGAAGAAAUUUUAGUUUCCAUAAGGCAUACAAGUGGGCUUCCAGUGUAUUUGAUUUUUAACAGUUAUGAUUGUAAAUGUUAAGAGUCCAAAUAAAAGGUACUACAGUUUAUUAUUUUACAGUUCUUAUAAGUGAUGAUAAAUUGAAUUUAUUUGCAAUAUCUAAUUGCAAUCUGAAACGAGGAGCUGCUUUAAGAUACACAGUACAAAAGUAACUUUAAUUUGGAUUAAUGUUGAAAUAUUGUAUACUUUAUCAUCUUUACUACUUAAAACGUGUAAUAUAAAAACAAAAACAAAUCAUGUUUAGAAAUAAACACUGUGACUUGAUCAAAUACUAGUCUCUUUAGAACCUUAUACUCUCACGGUUAGAAGUCGGAGAAAAAAACCUUUUAAGUUUGAGGAACAGUUGUUCCAACAUACACAAGUGUUGGAGCAGAAGGUUUUGCAAGACUGGUACAUCUUUUUGUUUUCCUGGAAUAUUAAUCCUCUCCAUCUCUUGUCCUGGAAUAUUAAAUCCUCUCCAUCUCUUGUCCUAAAGCUCGUCAGUAGUUAUAGUAAAUGGAGAUUCUGUCAACUCUCAAUUUGAUCUAGUGAUGUGGUCUAAGGAGGUCUGUUUUUUAAUGUCCAUGCUUUUCUCAUCAUAUGGAUACUAAAAUGUCUCCAGUAAAUACUAAUCCUGAUAAUUCUAUCUUUCCAUUCUGCCAAACAUCAGUUCAAUACCUCCACUAAACAAGACAGUUCCUGUCACAUAAAAUGCUAACACAACAGAUGAACGUUUCAUCGUCCAUAGACAACUGGAUGUUGUUUCUGUUAACAGUCCUAUACUUGUAAUAGUAUGAUCAAUUCACAGUAGUUAUUUGUAAACAUAUUUUUUUUAAAUUGCAUGUUUUAAGUACUGAUGAUGAUAAAGUAUACAAUAUUUCAACAUUAACCCAAUAUAAAGUUACUUUUGUACUGUAUAUCUUAAAGCAGCUUCCCUUGUUUCAGAUUGCAAUUGGAUACUGUGAUGUUAACAGCAUGUUUAAUAAUUGCCAAGUUGAAUUUGCUUAAAGGUAAUAGUUCUCUCAUCUUGAUGCCUACUACAUAUGCAGUUUAUUGAAGUGAAACUAUGAAUUGGUUUGUUUGAUACUUUUAAUCAGAAAUACUCAGAUUUCUUGAACCUUUUCAUAAUGAAAACUUAAUGCAACUAACUGAAACAAAUGCAUUAUUUUUAGUUUUUAGAAGUACUGUUAUGUAGUUAGUCUUAUAUUCAAAAGGUUCAGUGAUAAAAGAAACAAACAAAACUGAUUACUGAGCAGUUGUAGUCAGUCCAUAGUUUACAGGAGGUGUUUUUUGUACUUUGUAGAAUCAAGGAACUUUUCAAAGUAAACGAAAAUGUUUUAAAAUUCUAAGUUAUUAAACUUGAAACCCUGCAAGGCCAAGUAAUACUGUUAAUAUUCUUUCAAAUACAUGUUUCAGUUGCUAGCUCAGAUAAGGUCCUGAAAAUAAAACCUGUAUGAAAAAUACCAAUUUGUUUAUUGCAAUGGCUUAUCAGAUCCUGUUAUCUCUUUCUGCCUAUACACUAAUAAAUUCUUCAAUAAAA